UGAGUCGGAUUUGAAUUCGGGUCGAGAUUGACCUGACCUGACCCAAAAAAUAGAAUAGAUCGGAUCCCAUCCAGCCCCGCGGUUCUAAAAUUUGGAUCGGUCGGAUUUUAUGCGGGUCGGGUCACUGCUAGACCCGCCCCAUUUGCAGCCCUAGCCCUAGUUACGGCAGACCUUCGUAGCUUGCAAAUGUCCGAGCAUGAAAAUUCAAAAUUUAAGUUGUUUUGGCGCUGCGGAUUUGUCAACCGGUAUCCUUCUUUCCUAAAUAAACGUGGUCCAACGGAGAGCGAAAUCCUGACCCCUUUCCGGAGGAAGCCACCGCCCGCGUUGGAACCUCGGCAACCUCGUCGUCUUCGAUUCGACCGACAGGACGAAGCGAUUUGACCCCCGAUUUAUAA
rnacentral:lncRNA from 1 species